GGGCCGUGCCGUUGACACAUGGGGCCGUGUUAGUACAAGACCUGACACUGCAGUUAAUGAAGAGGAGAGAGAAUGAAGGCCACGGGGCCGUGCAAGCGGAUUUAGCUAUUGUCACCAGUCCAAGAAUUCAAGAACCAUCAUCGUAAUUGACCAUCUCAGCGCAUUUGUUUACUGAUCUAUCAAGUUACCAGCAUAUUUUUCUAUUCUCAGUGUAAUUGAACUCAGAACCCUAAAAUCCAGUGUAAUUAACUUCUAAUCAGCAAUUUGAACUUAAAAUUUAACCAAAAUGUCACUAAAUCAACUUAAUCCGAUCGCACAAGCCGAAGUAGA
rnacentral:lncRNA from 1 species